CCUACGGGAGGCAGCAGUGAGGAAUAUUGGUCAAUGGGCGGACGCCUGAACCAGCCAAGUCGCGUGAGGGAAGACUGCCCUAUGGGUUGUAAACCUCUAUUGUCAGGGAGCAACGCCGGCUACGUGUAGCCGGACGGAGAGGACCUGAAGAAAAAGCAGCGGCUAACUCCGUGCCAGCAGCCGCGGUAAUACGGAGGAUGCGAGCGUUAUCCGGAUUGAUGGGGUUUAAAGGGUGCGUAGGCGGAAUGCCAAGUCAGCGGUCAAAGCGCGGGGCUCAACCUCGCUCCGCCGUUGAAACUGGCGUUCUUGAGUGGGCGAGAGGUAUGCGGCAUGCGUGGUGUAGCGGUGAAAUGCCUAGAUAUCACGCAGAACUCCGAUUGCGAAGGCAGCAUACCGGCGCCCAACUGACGCUGACGCACGAAAGCGUGGGUAUCGAACAGGAUUAGAUACCCCUGUAGUC
rnacentral:rRNA from 1 species